GGGCUGAUUGCUGGCUUUUGGCUAAGCUCAGCUCUAAAUCAUUCUGUAGUUAAAGGAAUCCAUUCUGGUUACUUAGAGCUGAAAUCAUUAAAUGGGUGCCAAGUCAUAGAGCAGGUUUUUUAAAAAGAGUCCCUUUGGAGUUCUAGCCUGGCUCCCUGCUCAAGUGGGGUCAACCAGAGCAGGUUGCUCAGGACUGUGUCCAGUUGGGCUUUGAACAUCUCCACAGAUGGAGACACCACAACCUCUCUGAGCAAGCUGUUCCUGUGUCUGAUCACCUGCACUGGGAAGUAGUGUUGCACCAGAAUGUCCUGUGUGUCUGUUUGUCCUGUCCUCUUGGUUACACCCUCCCUUCAGUCUUCCAGCCCUUGUGGUCCUGAGACUUCCUGAGCUGGAUGUGGUCUUGGCUGCUGGGAAACCUCAGUGGGGUUCUCUUCCAUGGAUCUUUCAUGCCUUUGCUUAAACGCUUGUAAACCUGUGGCCUCCUCAGCAUUCUCCAGCAAAUGUGCAUUUGCUGUGUGAAGAGCCACCUUUUGUAAAGAUAGGGGAAGAAAGAAAGGAUAAAUAAAUAAAUGUUUUGAACCUGA